UACGUAGGGUGCGAGCGUUGUCCGGAAUUACUGGGCGUAAAGAGCUCGUAGGUGGUUUGUCGCGUCGUCUGUGAAAUUCCGGGGCUUAACUUCGGGCGUGCAGGCGAUACGUGCAAUACUUGAGUGCUGUAGGGGAGACUGGAAUUCCUGGUGUAGCGGUGAAAUGUGCAGAUAUCAGGAGGAACACCGGUGGCGAAGGCGGGUCUCUGGGCAGUAACUGACGCUGAGGAGCGAAAGCGUGGGGAGCAAACAGGAUUAGAUACCCU
rnacentral:rRNA from 1 species